rnacentral:rRNA from 1 species
CAGGCUUAACACAUGCAAGUCGAGGGGCAGCAUUUCAGUUUGCUUGCAAACUGGAGAUGGCGACCGGCGCACGGGUGAGUAACACGUAUCCAACCUGCCGAUAACUCGGGGAUAGCCUUUCGAAAGAAAGAUUAAUACCCGAUGGUAUAAUCAGACCGCAUGGUCUUGUUAUUAAAGAAUUUCGGUUAUCGAUGGGGAUGCGUUCCAUUAGGCAGUUGGUGAGGUAACGGCUCACCAAACCUUCGAUGGAUAGGGGUUCUGAGAGGAAGGUCCCCCACAUUGGAACUGAGACACGGUCCAAACUCCUACGGGAGGCAGCAGUGAGGAAUAUUGGUCAAUGGGCGCAGGCCUGAACCAGCCAAGUAGCGUGAAGGAUGACUGCCCUAUGGGUUGUAAACUUCUUUUAUAUGGGAAUAAAGUUUUCCACGUGUGGAAUUUUGUAUGUACCAUAUGAAUAAGGAUCGGCUAACUCCGUGCCAGCAGCCGCGGUAAUACGGAGGAUCCGAGCGUUAUCCGGAUUUAUUGGGUUUAAAGGGAGCGUAGGUGGACAGUUAAGUCAGUUGUGAAAGUUUGCGGCUCAACCGUAAAAUUGCAGUUGAUACUGGCUGUCUUGAGUACAGUAGAGGUGGGCGGAAUUCGUGGUGUAGCGGUGAAAUGCUUAGAUAUCACGAAGAACUCCGAUUGCGAAGGCAACUCACUGGACUGCAACUGACACUGAUGCUCGAAAGUGUGGGUAUCAAACAGGAUUAGAUACCCUGGUAGUCCACACAGUAAACGAUGAAUACUCGCUGUUUGCGAUAUACAGUAAGCGGCCAAGCGAAAGCAUUAAGUAUUCCACCUGGGGAGUACGCCGGCAACGGUGAAACUCAAAGGAAUUGACGGGGGCCCGCACAAGCGGAGGAACAUGUGGUUUAAUUCGAUGAUACGCGAGGAACCUUACCCGGGCUUAAAUUGCAUUUGAAUAUAUUGGAAACAGUAUAGCCGUAAGGCAAAUGUGAAGGUGCUGCAUGGUUGUCGUCAGCUCGUGCCGUGAGGUGUCGGCUUAAGUGCCAUAACGAGCGCAACCCUUAUCUUUAGUUACUAACAGGUCAUGCUGAGGACUCUAGAGAGACUGCCGUCGUAAGAUGUGAGGAAGGUGGGGAUGACGUCAAAUCAGCACGGCCCUUACGUCCGGGGCUACACACGUGUUACAAUGGGGGGUACAGAAGGCAGCUACCUGGUGACAGGAUGCUAAUCCCAAAAGCCUCUCUCAGUUCGGAUCGAAGUCUGCAACCCGACUUCGUGAAGCUGGAUUCGCUAGUAAUCGCGCAUCAGCCAUGGCGCGGUGAAUACGUUCCCGGGCCUUGUACACACCGCCCGUCAAGCCAUGAAAGCCGGGGGCGCCUAAAGUCCGUGACCGCAAGGAGCGGCCUAGGGCGAAACUGGUAAUUGGG